rnacentral:rRNA from 1 species
CCUACGGGUGGCAGCAGUGAGGAAUAUUGGUCAAUGGCCGAGAGGCUGAACCAGCCAAGUCGCGUGAGGGAAGACGGCCCUACGGGUUGUACACCUCUUUUGUCGGGGAGCAAAGCGAGUCACGUGUGACUCAUUGCGAGUACCCGAAGAAAAAGCAUCGGCUAACUCCGUGCCAGCAGCCGCGGUAAUACGGAGGAUGCGAGCGUUAUCCGGAUUGAUUGGGUUGAAAGGGUGCGCAGGCGGAGGUGGAAUUCAGCGGUCAAAUGGCGGGGCUCAACCCCGUACUGCCGUUGAAACUGCAUCCCUUGAGUGCGCGAGAAGUAUGCGGAAUGCGUGGUGUAGCGGUGAAAUGCAUAGAUAUCACGCAGAACUCCGAUUGCGAAGGCAGCAUACCGGCGCGCAACUGACGCUCAUGCACGAAAGCGUGGGUAUCGAACAGGAUUAGAUACCCUAGUAGUC